rnacentral:rRNA from 1 species
GAUCAUGGCUCAGAUUGAACGCUGGCGGCGUGCUUAACACAUGCAAGUCGCGCGUGAAAGGACUUCGGUCCGAGUAAAGCGGCGCACGGGUGAGUAACGCGUGGAUGAUCUACCCAUGAGUUGGGAAUAACGGCUGGAAACGGUCGCUAAUACCGAAUACGCUCCGAUUUCAACUUCGGGGGAAAGGUGGCCUCUGCUUGCAAGCUACUGCUCAUGGAUGAGUCCGCGUCCCAUUAGCUAGUUGGUGGGGUAACGGCCCACCAAGGCGACGAUGGGUAGCCGGUCUGAGAGGAUGACCGGCCACACUGGGACUGGAACACGGCCCAGACUCCUACGGGAGGCAGCAGUGGGGAAUAUUGCGCAAUGGGCGAAAGCCUGACGCAGCGACGCCGCGUGAAGGGAUGAAGGUCCUCGGAUCGUAAACCUCUGUCAGGAGGGAAGAACCGCCACGGUGCUAAUCAGCCGUGGUCUGACGGUACCUCCAAAGGAAGCACCGGCUAACUCCGUGCCAGCCGCUGC